rnacentral:lncRNA from 1 species
GCAUGAGAAGGAAACCAACUCUGCAUAACUGUAGGAUUCUUUACAUGCUAAGCUGAGACAAGGAGGAACAAUUUUAAGAAAUCUAAGCCUACAAGACAUCGACUGUUUUAAUAAAACCGAAGGACAAAAGUGCCAUCAGAAGGGAGAUUUAAGAAGGCUGAAGUUGGCUCCGUCCAUCUGAAGAUGUUUCCAGGAAGGGUCUUCUCUGGCUGAAGGAGUCCAUCUCUUUUAUUCUGUAGCUGACACAUCAUUAUUGAAAAAUUAGAUAUGUCCAUCUCACUCAGUCCAAGGCCAUUGCAACUUUCUGCUUAGAAUUUCUCUUCUCUAGUUUCCCAAGGUCCGUGCAGGCCAGAAGGAUUCCUGUAACCAGGCACAUCAGCAGUCACAAUUCUCACUGUAAAUUACUAAAUUGACAUGUGGAUUUCUUCCUCACUCUAUGCAAGUUUGGUUAGAUCACCUCUGAAAGUCAGCUUCGUCUUUCAAGAACGGCCAUGAUGGUGUUCUGAACCGGAGGAAUCAAAGAAUGACUUUCACAGCGCAAGCUGAAGAAAACAUUCUCAAGAACUUCAACAUGGGAAAGGGAAAUUUUAAAAUAGAAUAAUAUUGAGAACAGUUCAGAAUAAUAGGGAAUAUCGACAUGUCCUGCUUAUGAAAGCUGAGGCGUGUGUCGUCUGUUGUUGAUCUGCUGUCUCCUCAACACAAGGAAUGUCAGUGGUGGAGAAGGACAGUGAGAAGGUGAUUCUCUGUCAUCUCCUAAAUCAUUAACAUGUUCCCUUAUAGCAACCACGUAUUUGUUUUAAGGAUAUUUUCCCUCCAACUUCUUAUAUACUCAAUGUCCAAAGCAUAUCUUUGAAAGAAACAAAUUCAAAAUGCUUUGUUUAUGAGAGUAAAAACUUUUAGCAAAUAUAAAACCAGAGAACUCAUAGAACUGAGCUUCCUUAAAUUCUUUUUGGAAUAUCCGUGAAUAAAAAUGACUAGAUUACAGAAUU